GAUGAACGCUAGCUACAGGCUUAACACAUGCAAGUCGAGGGGCAGCAUGAACUUAGCUUGCUAAGUUUGAUGGCGACCGGCGCACGGGUGAGUAACACGUAUCCAACCUGCCGAUGACUCGGGGAUAGCCUUUCGAAAGAAAGAUUAAUACCCGAUUGCAUAGUUCUUCCGCAUGGUAAACCUAUUAAAUAUUUUCGUCCUUCAUUGGGGAUGCGUCCCAUUAGUUUUUUGGCGGGGUAACGGCCACCCAAGCCUUCGAUGGAUAGGGGUUCUGAGAGGAAGGUCCCCCACAUUGGAACUGAGACACGGUCCAAACGCCGACGGGAGGCAGCAGUGAGGAAUAUUGGUCAAUGGACGAGAGUCUGAACCAGCCAAGUAGCGUGAAGGAGGACUGCCCUAUGGGUUGUAAACUUCUUUUAUACGGGAAUAAAGUGAGGCACGUGUGCCUUUUUGUAUGUACCGUAUGAAUAAGGAUCGGCUAACUCCGUG
rnacentral:rRNA from 1 species